rnacentral:snRNA from 1 species
CUCGCUUCUCGGCCUUUUGGCUAAGAUCAAGUGUAGUACCUGUUGGUGAUGCAGGGAAACACUUGAUCCUCU